AAUCCGUCCUUUUGUGUGUGAUCCUGUAGGUUUUCGCGGCAUUGACAAUUAUAUCAAAUCACGUAUUUAACAUAAUAAAUAGUGAUUGGUAUCUAGCAACACAUCACUGCUACCCAAGACACGAAAAUUUCAUGUGAUCUGACAAAUCCUUUUGUGAUAACACUUAUGUGUACAAUUACCGUUUUGCCCUUAUGUCUAUAUUGAACACAAGGCAUAGACC
rnacentral:lncRNA from 1 species